UGGCUACCACAUCCAGGAAGGAGCAGGCGCGCAAAUUACCCAAUCCUGACACAGGGAGGUAGUGACAAUAAAUAACAAUACUGGGCCUUUUCAGGUCUGGUAAUUGGAAUGAGUACAAUCUAAACCCCUUAACGAGGAUCAAUUGGAGGGCAAGUCUGGUGCCAGCAGCCGCGGUAAUUCCAGCUCCAAUAGCGUAUAUUUAAGUUGCUGCAGUUAAAAAGCUCGUAGUUGGAUUUCGGGUGGGGCCUGCCGGUCCGCCGUUUCGGUGUGCACUGGCAGGGCCCACCUUGUUGCCGGGGACGGGCUCCUGGGCUUCACUGUCCGGGACUCGGAGUCGGCGCUGUUACUUUGAGUAAAUUAAGUCAAGCAGGCCUACGCUCUGAAUACAUUAGCAUGGAAUAACACGAUAGGACUCUGGCCUAUCCUGUUGGUCUGUAGGACCGGAUAAUGAUUAAAGGGACAGUCGGGGGGCAUUCGUAUUUCAUUGUCAGAGGUGAAAUUCUUGGAUUUAUGAAAGACGAACUACUGCGAAAGCAUUUGCCAGGAUGUUUUCAUUAAUCAAGAACGAAAGUUGGGGGCUCGAAACAUAAUACCGUCCUAGUCUCAACCAUAAACGAUGCCACUAGGGAUCGGCGGAGUUCUUCAUGACUCCGCCGCACCUUAUGAGAAAUCAAAGUUUUUGGGUUCGGGGGAGUAUGGUCGCAGGUGAAACUUAAGGAAUUGACGAGGGCACCCCAGGCGUGGAGCCUGCGGCUUAUUUGAUACCGGGGAAAUUACCAGGUCGACUAGGAGGAUCGAUGAGACUCUUCUUGAUCUAUGGGGGGGGCAUGGGCCGUUCUUAGGGCCUUGCGGUUGAUUCCGGACGACGAACCUCCCGCAAUACGCGCCCGGACUUCUUGGAUAUAAAAGUAACGGAAGG
rnacentral:rRNA from 1 species